GCACUGAAAGGCCAAAUCAUAUUUCAAUUCAGGUUUUACAGCUUUGAGAGUUUUUCUUUUGGCAAUUUUUUUUUAAAUUUUUCUCUUAAAAUUGGUGCUGCAUCACAAACGGUUCUAUAAAGGUUCGUUGGGUCAUAGACAUCUUCAAAGUACUUUUGGAAUGCUCAGGUUUCUUCAGAAUGAGUAAUCUUACCCUUGGGGACGUUUUCCUGCAAAGAUGAAAAGGCCUUCGUUAGACGUUCUUUGAUUUCAG
rnacentral:lncRNA from 1 species